AGGCCUAGGUUUUUGYCUGGYAGWGGGGGAAACGUUUWGAAAGGAACGCKAAUGCCGGAUACGUCCGACGGGAGAAAGCAGGGGACCUUCGGGCCUUGCSCUAUUWSAUGAGCCUAGGUSGGAUUAGCUAGUUGGUGAGGUAAUGGCUCACCAAGGCGACGAUCCGUAACUGGUCUGARAGGAUGAUCAGUCACACUGGAACUGAGACACGGUCCAGACUCCUACGGGAGGCAGCAGUGGGGAAUAUUGGACAAUGGGCGAAAGCCUGAUCCAGCCAUGCCGCGUGUGUGAAGAAGGUCUUCGGAUUGUAAAGCACUUUAAGUUGGGAGGAAGGGUUGUAGAUUAAUACUCUGCAAUUUUGACGUUACCGACRGAAUAAGCACCGGCUAACUCUGUGCCAGCRKCCGCGRUAAUAC
rnacentral:rRNA from 1 species